rnacentral:rRNA from 1 species
UCCCAGACUCCUACGGGAGGCAGCAGUGGGGAAUAUUGGGCAAUGGGCGCAAGCCUGACCCAGCGACGCCGCGUGAGGGAAGACGGUCUUCGGAUUGUAAACCUCUUUCAGCAGGGAAGACAAAAGGACGGUACCUGCAGAAGAAGCCACGGCUAACUACGUGCCAGCAGCCGCGGUAAUACGUAGGUGGCAAGCGUUAUCCGGAUUUACUGGGUGUAAAGGGCGUGUAGGCGGGGAAGCAAGUCAGAUGUGAAAACCACGGGCUCAACCUGUGGCCUGCAUUUGAAACUGUUUUUCUUGAGUACUGGAGAGGCAGGCGGAAUUCCUAGUGUAGCGGUGAAAUGCGUAGAUAUUAGGAGGAACACCAGUGGCGAAGGCGGUCUGCUGGACAGCAACUGACGCUGAGGCGCGAAAGCGUGGGGAGCAAACAGGAUUAGAUACCCCGGUA